rnacentral:rRNA from 1 species
UACGAAGGGUGUAAGCGUUGUUCGGAAUGACUGGGCGUAAAGCGCGCGUAGGCGGAUCAGGAAGUUGGGGGUGAAAUCCCGGGGCUCAACCCCGGAAUGGCCUUCAAAACUCCUGGUCUUGAGUUCGAGAGAGGUGAGUGGAAUUCCGAGUGUAGAGGUGAAAUUCGUAGAUAUUCGGAGGAACACCAGUGGCGAAGGCGGCUCACUGGCUCGACACUGACGCUGAGGUGCGAAAGCGUGGGGAGCAAACAGG